ACAUUUUGUCAUGCAAAAUUUACCAACUAAGUGAAUCCUACUUAUGUGUAAUGAAAAAACUAGAUAGGUUGAUUUUAUACAGUGUUAUUGGUAUUUCGGUGAAUGUAGUCUCAGUUUGUCAAAAGGCGGUCAGGUUUAUCUUGUAGCCUAGAAUUAAUGUCAAUAUACUCAAUUACAUAGCUAGCCUUGUAUAUAACUUAUAAGACUAAAUAAAUAAUUUACAGGACGAUUCAUUUUCCCAUCAAUAUGUAAU
rnacentral:misc_RNA from 1 species